rnacentral:rRNA from 1 species
AGACCCGAAACCCGGUGAUCUAGCCAUGGGCAGGUUGAAGGUUGGGUAACACUAACUGGAGGACCGAACCGACUAAUGUUGAAAAAUUAGCGGAUGACCUGUGGCUGGGGGUGAAAGGCCAAUCAAACCGGGAGAUAGCUGGUUCUCCCCGAAAGCUAUUUAGGUAGCGCCUCGUGAAUUCAUCUCCGGGGGUAGAGCACUGUUUCGGCCAGGGGGCCAUCCCGGCUUACCAAUCCGAUGCAAACUGCGAAUACCGGAGAAUGUUAUCACGGGAGACACACGGCGGGUGCUAACGUCCGUCGUGAAGAGGGAAACAACCCAGACCGCCAGCUAAGGUCCCAAAGUCAUGGUUAAGUGGGAAACGAUGUGGGAAGGCCCAGACAGCCAGGAUGUUGGCUUAGAAGCAGCCAUCAUUUAAAGAAAGCGUAAUAGCUCACUGGUCGAGUCGGCCUGCGCGGAAGAUGUAACGGGGCUAAACCAUGCACCGAAGCUGCGGCAGCGACACUGAUGUGUUGUUGGGUAGGGGAGCGUUCUGUAAGCCGUUGAAGGUGUGUCGUGAGGCAUGCUGGAGGUAUCAGAAGUGCGAAUGCUGACAUAAGUAACGAUAAAGCGGGUGAAAAGCCCGCUCGCCGGAAGACCAAGGGUUCCUGUCCAACGUUAAUCGGGGCAGGGUGAGUCGACCCCUAAGGCGAGGCCGAAAGGCGUAGUCGAUGGGAAACGGGUUAAUAUUCCCGUACUUGGUGUUACUGCGAAGGGGGGACGGAGAAGGCUAUGUUGGCCGGGCGACGGUUGUCCCGGUUUAAGCGUGUAGGUGUGUGUUCCAGGUAAAUCCGGUUCACUUUAACACUGAGGCGUGAUGACGAGGCACUACGGUGCUGAAGCAACAAAUGCCCUGCUUCCAGGAAAAGCCUCUAAGCCUCAGGUAACAUCAAAUCGUACCCCAAACCGACACAGGUGGUCAGGUAGAGAAUACCAAGGCGCUUGAGAGAACUCGGGUGAAGGAACUAGGCAAAAUGGUGCCGUAACUUCGGGAGAAGGCACGCUGACACGUAGGUGAAGUGGUUUACCCAUGGAGCUGAAGUCAGUCGAAGAUACCAGCUGGCUGCAACUGUUUAUUAAAAACACAGCACUGUGCAAACACGAAAGUGGACGUAUACGGUGUGACGCCUGCCCGGUGCCGGAAGGUUAAUUGAUGGGGUCAGCGCAAGCGAAGCUCCUGAUCGAAGCCCCGGUAAACGGCGGCCGUAACUAUAACGGUCCUAAGGUAGCGAAAUUCCUUGUCGGGUAAGUUCCGACCUGCACGAAUGGCGUAAUGAUGGCCAGGCUGUCUCCACCCGGGACUCAGUGAAAUUGAACUCGCUGUGAAGAUGCAGUGUACCCGCGGCAAGACGGAAAGACCCCGUGAACCUUUACUAUAGCUUGACACUGAACACUGGUCCUUGAUGUGCAGGAUAGGUGGGAGGCUUUGAAGUGUGGACGCCAGUCUGCAUGGAGCCGACCUUGAAAUACCACCCUUUAAUGGCUGGUGUUCUAACGUGGGCCCGUGAACCGGGUUGCGGACAGUGUCUGGUGGGUAGUUUGACUGGGGCGGUCUCCUCCUAAAGAGUAACGGAGGAGCACGAAGGUUGGCUAAUCCUGGUCGGACAUCAGGAGGUUAGUGCAAUGGCAUAAGCCAGCUUGACUGCGAGCGUGACGGCGCGAGCAGGUGCGAAAGCAGGUCAUAGUGAUCCGGUGGUUCUGAAUGGAAGGGCCAUCGCUCAACGGAUAAAAGGUACUCCGGGGAUAACAGGCUGAUACCGCCCAAGAGUUCAUAUCGACGGCGGUGUUUGGCACCUCGAUGUCGGCUCAUCACAUCCUGGGGCUGAAGUAGGUCCCAAGGGUAUGGCUGUUCGCCAUUUAAAGUGGUACGCGAGCUGGGUUUAGAACGUCGUGAGACAGUUCGGUCCCUAUCUGCCGUGGGCGCUGGAAGAUUGAGGGGGGCUGCUCCUAGUACGAGAGGACCGGAGUGGACGCAUCACUGGUGUUCGGGUUGUCAUGCCAAUGGCACUGCCCGGUAGCUACAUGCGGAAGAGAUAAGUGCUGAAAGCAUCUAAGCACGAAACUUGCCCCGAGAUGAAUCUUCCCUGAGCCUUUAAGGCUCCUGAAGGAACGUUGAAGACGACGACGUUGAUAGGCCGGGUGUGUAAGCGCAGCGAUGCGUUGAGCUAACCGGUACUAAUGAACCGUGAGGCUUAACCUUACAACGCCGAA